AGUCGUAACAAGGUUUCCGUAGGUGAACCUGCGGAGGAUCAUUAAAAUGUGAUUGGUUAUACAUUACAUGUAUCAGCUGCAUUAACCCAUUUCCGAGUACCUUGCCUGUUGCUUCCAUGAGGCCUGACCUAGGUCACUCUUGCUGAUGUGAAACCCAAGGAGAGUCCCCAUGGGAGGUAAUCAUUAAAUUCAUGUAUCCGAUGUCUUCUGUCUGAACUGUUUAUAACAAUGUUAAA
rnacentral:misc_RNA from 1 species